rnacentral:lncRNA from 1 species
GAAACAAACAGGGCAUGCCGCAUGCGUAGUUCCUCUCCUUGCCGAACCCAGUUUUCCUGGUCCUCUCCGCGUCGCCACCUCUGAGCAGCGCGACCUGAUCUCCGGUUUCCCCGCAGCGACUACCGUUACCCCCGGCGACUCCAGUGACGUCACCGGGUCAGGUCCUGACCGAAGAGCCUUGGGCGACCCGUCACCACUCCUCGCCUGUUGACGUGUGCUGCAGCUGUACAUGUGUACAUGUGUACAUGUGUGCCUGUUGUGUGAUGCCAAUGUACAUGUGAACAUGGGUCCCUCGUAUGUGAUGCUGCUGCACAUGUAAAUAUGUGUGCCUGAUGUGUCAUGCUGUUGCACAUGUUUACAUGUGUGCCUGUUGUGUGAUGCUGCUGUACUUGUGUACAUGUGUGCCUGGUGUGUUAUUAACCUGUAAAUGUAUGCCUAGUGUGUGUUGCCACUUUACAUGUGUGCCGGGAGUGUGAUUCUGCUGCACAUGUGGACAUGUGGGCCUGGUAUGUGAUGCUGCUGCACAUGUGGACAUGUGGGCCUGGUAUGUGAUGCUGCUGCACAUGUGGACAUGUGGGCCUGGUGUGUGAUGCUGCUGUUCAUGUGUCCUGGAGUUUGCCUGGUGUGUGAUGCCACUUUACAUGUGAUCCAGGUGUUAGAUGAUGCUGUACAUGUGUUCAGGUGUGCCUGGUAUGUGUUGCUGUAGCACAUGGGUACAGGUGUGGCUCUUUAUGUGAUGCUGCUGCACAUGGGUUCAUUUGUGCUGUGUGUGUGAUACUCAGUGUGACACUCAGAUACUCAUGCAAACAUCAGCUUUUAUUUGUAUGAGGGACUUGUGCCAUGAGAAUUUUUGAGAAUUUUAGGAAUUGUUCUGACCUCUCAAGAACAUCAAAUAAAUAGUAAAUGACUGAGAUAGC